AGGAAAGUAAAGAAGGGCGCAUGGCGGAUGCCUUGGCUCUCGGAGGCGAUGAAGGACGUGAUAAGCUGCGAUAAGCUUUGGGGAGGUGCAAAUGACCUUUGAUCCAGAGAUUUCCGAAUGGGACAACCCAAUAUCUUGAAGAGGUAUUAUCUUACUAUGUAAGAGGCUAACGCAGGGAACUGAAACAUCUUAGUACCUGCAGGAAAAGAAAAUAAACAAUGAUUCCCCCAGUAGUGGCGAGCGAACGGGGAACAGCCCAAACCAUCCAUGUUACGGCAUGGGUGGGGUUGUAGGACUACGCCGUUGCAUGAAGACAUCAGAGAAGAACUUUCUGGAAAGAAAGACCAUAGAGCAUGACAGUUGCGUAUUCGAAUGUUGUCGAAGCAUAGUAGUAUCCUGAGUAGCGCGGAGCACGAGGAAUUCUGCGUGAAUCUGCCGGGACCAUCCGGUAAGGCUAAAUACUCCCGAGAGACCGAUAGCGAACCAGUACCGUGAGGGAAAGGUGAAAAGCACUUCGAACAGAAGAGUGAAAUAGUUCCUGAAACCGUGCGCCUACAAGCGGUCGGAGCUCGUUAAUGAGUGACGGCGUGCCUUUUGCAUAAUGAACCUACGAGUUGCCUUUGCCGGCAAGGUUAAGUGUGACGACACACGUAUCCGAAGCGAAAGCGAGUCUGAACAGGGCGUAUAGUCGGCAGUGGCAGACGCGAAACCAAGUGAUCUACCCUUGGCCAGGUUGAAGGCUGGGUAACACCAGCUGGAGGACCGCACCAAUAAGCGUUGAAAAGCUUCUGGAUGAGCUGAGGGUAGGGGUGAAAGGCUAAUCAAACUUGGAGAUAGCUCGUACUCCCCGAAAUGCAUUUAGGUGCAGCCUUGCGGGUUACUGAUGUGAGGUAGAGCGACUGAUAAGAUGCGAGGGCUUCACCGCCUAUCAAGUCUUGACAAACUCCGAAUGCGCAUCAGUUCUACCGCAGGAGUGAGGGCAUGGGUGCUAAGGUCCGUGCCCGAGAGGAGAAGAAUCCGGACCACCUGCUAAGGUCCCGAAAUGACAGCUAAGUUAAACUAACGAAGUCUGACUGCUAAGACAGCUAGGAUGUUGGCUUGGAAGCAGCCAUUCAUUUAAAGAGUGCGUAACAGCUCACUAGUCGAGGAGUCGGGCGUGGAUAAUAAUCGGGUAUUAAGUUGUCUACCGAAGCAGUGGGAUCAUUUAUAUGAUCGGUAGGGGAGCAUUCCAGUCAGCGUCGAAGGCGUACCGUGAGGUAUUCUGGAGCGUCUGGAAAAGCAAAUGUAGGUAUAAGUAACGAUAAAGGGGGCGGGAAACCCCCUCGCCGAAAGACUAAGGUUUCCUGAUCAACGCUAAUCGGAUCAGGGUCAGUCGGGUCCUAAGGCUCAGCCGAACGGCGAUGCCGAUGGCAGAAACGGUUAAUAUUCCGUUACUACCUUCAGGAGUGACGUGGAGACGCAGUAGUGACAGUGCCGCCAUCUGACGGAAUAGAUGGUUGAAGGGUGUAGGAGUCGAUCAUGGCAGGCAAAUCCACCAUGAGAUCCGAACCUGACAGUAUGCCGCGUCCUUCGGGACAAGGCAAUAGUGCGCGUAAGCAUGCUGCCGAGAAAAUCCGCUAAACUUAAUCCUGCAGGUACCCGUACCGCAAACGGACACACGUAGUCGGGAUGAAUAUUCUAAGGCGCUUGAGUGAUUCACGGUUAAGGAACUAGGCAAACUGACCCUGUAACUUCGGGAUAAAGGGUCCCUACCCUUUUAUGGGAGGGCGCAGAGAAUCGGUCCAGGCAACUGUUUAACAAAAACACAGGGCUGUGCCAAAUCGAAAGAUCCAGUAUACAGCCUGACACCUGCCCGGUGCUGGAAGGUUAAGAGGAGAUGUCAUCGAUAAGAGAAGCGUUGAAUUGAAGCCCCAGUAAACGGCGGCCGUAACUAUAACGGUCCUAAGGUAGCGAAAUUCCUUGUCGGGUAAGUUC
rnacentral:rRNA from 1 species